rnacentral:lncRNA from 1 species
UCUCAAGUACCAAGUCGUCAUGUCUAACAACAUGGAAUAAAUCAAGUAUCUCAAUGGCCUACCUCUAUGUCAUCAUGCUCUAACAUGGAAUAUAGCAGAUAUGUAGUGGCCUAUCAGUAUAUCUCUAUGUUGCAGUUUCAUAGUUUACUAGUUUCAAGGGCCCCUUGAUGACACUCUUGUUCUCUAUGUCAAAGUAUGGCAACUAUGUUCCAAAGUACAUAUUCCAAGUCAUA